rnacentral:rRNA from 1 species
AUAUCAAUAAGCGGAGGAAAAGAAACCAACAGGGAUUGCCCUAGUAACGGCGAGUGAAGCGGCAACAGCUCAGAUUUGAAAUCCGGCUUCGGCCCGAGUUGUAAUCUGCAGAGGGAUGUUCGGCAGAGGCGCCGGUCCAAGUCUCCUGGAACGGAGCGUCGCAGAGGGUGAGAACCCCGUACGCGGCCGGCGGCCAAUGCCGUGUGAACGCCCUUCGACGAGUCGAGUUGUUUGGGAAUGCAGCUCAAAACGGGUGGUAAAUUCCAUCUAAAGCUAAAUAUUGGCCAGAGACCGAUAGCGCACAAGUA